rnacentral:rRNA from 1 species
GUGGGGAAUCUUGCGCAAUGGGCGAAAGCCUGACGCAGCCAUGCCGCGUGAAUGAUGAAGGUCUUAGGAUUGUAAAAUUCUUUCACCGGGGACGAUAAUGACGGUACCCGGAGAAGAAGCUCCGGCUAACUUCGUGCCAGCAGCCGCGGUAAUACGAAGGGGGCUAGCGUUGCUCGGAAUUACUGGGCGUAAAGGGCGCGUAGGCGGACAGCUUAGUCAGAGGUGAAAGCCCAGGGCUCAACCUUGGAAUUGCCUUUGAUACUGGCUGUCUUGAGUUUGGGAGAGGUGAGUUGAACUCCGAGUGUAGAGGUGAAAUUCGUAGAUAUUCGGAAGAACACCAGUGGCGAAGGCGACUCACUGGCCCAAUACUGACGCUGAGGCGCGAAAGCGUGGGGAGCAAACAGGAUUAGAAACCCCUGUAGUCC